rnacentral:rRNA from 1 species
CACGUAGGGAGCAAGCGUUGUCCGGAUUUAUUGGGCGUAAAGAGCUCGUAGGUGGUUCGGUAAGUCAGGUGUGAAACCUCCAGGCUCAACCUGGAGACGCCACUUGAUACUGCUGUGACUGGAGUCCGGUAGGGGAGCGUGGAAUUCCUGGUGUAGCGGUGAAAUGCGCAGAUAUCAGGAGGAACACCAACGGCGAAGGCAGCUCGCUGGGACGGUACUGACGCUGAGGCGCGAAAGCGUGGGGAGCAAACAGG